rnacentral:lncRNA from 1 species
CUCAAUAAUUUCCAGCCGCGCACAUCAUGUACAGGUAUCUUUGAACUGUCUCGUUAUAUCCUCUUUCUGGUUUCCAGAAGCAUCUUUUUCUUUUUUUCUGUUUCCGGAUAGUUGAAGCUCAAGUAAAAGAAACAGCUUGUGGUUUAAUCUAUUUAGGAUAUAAAUCGGAGUAAUACAAAAAUAGAGAAGUCGAUAACUUGUAUAGAAUGAUAAUGAGCCAAUUCGUUAUUUUCGUGUUAGUGUUGCAUUAUAUAGCUGUGCAUUUAGAUACCAUCACACUGGCAACUAUAAAUCCGUAGGGUUGUCAAAUUUUUUCCCGGUCCUCGUAUUUGGUAGCUGGAGUUGUUAACCAUUUGCUAACAGGUAAAACCCAAUCCAGAAAACUGAAGGUUUUGCUUGGUGUUUGGCAGAUUGUACAGCAAAGCAAAGAAGAAGAUGGUUGGUGGUAAAGCUUUGAAGCAAACUAGGCUAUGGUGUUGAGGGACUUUUUUUCUGACCCACAAGAAAUUGAUGGUUAUUCAAAGUUCUGUGUUGAACAUUUUUUCUGAAAUGCUAUUGGUUUAAUAUAAAGUAUGACCAAUCGUAGACUUUGUAAAUUAUACUUCCAAGUUAUUAUUAGCAAUCUCUUUGAUUAAAA